UGGGGAAUAUUGCACAAUGGAGGAAACUCUGAUGCAGCGACGCCGCGUGAGUGAAGAAGUAUUUCGGUAUGUAAAGCUCUAUCAGCAGGGAAAGAAAAUGACGGUACCUGACUAAGAAGCACCGGCUAAAUACGUGCCAGCGGCCGCGGUAAUACGUAUGGUGCAAGCGUUAUCCGGAUUUACUGGGUGUAAAGGGGGCGUAGGUGGCAAGGCAAGCCAGAAGUGAAAACCCGGGGCUCAACCGCGGGAUUGCUUUUGGAACUGUCAUGCUAGAGUGCAGGAGGGGUGAGCGGAAUUCCUAGUGUAGCGGUGAAAUGCGUAGAUAUUAGGAGGAACACCGGAGGCGAAGGCGGCUCACUGGACUGUAACUGACACUGAGGC
rnacentral:rRNA from 1 species